rnacentral:lncRNA from 1 species
GGGGCAGCAUAUAAUUAUCCUUGGAAUAUGCCUUAUUAAGGUCGGUAUAGUCAACACUUAUGCACUACUUUCCAUUCACCUUCUUGACCCACACUACAUUAGCUAGCCACUCAGGAUAGUUUACUUCUCGGAUGAAGCCAACCUUCAAGAGCUUGUCCAUCUCUUUCUCUAUGGGUUUCUACCACUUUGGAGUGAAACUUCUCUUCCUUUACUAGAUGGGAUGAUACUUUGAUCUAUAUUCAGAUAGUGGACAAUGAUCUCCGAGUCUAUACUUGGCAUGUCUGAGGCUGACUAGAUGAAGAUAUCUUUAUUGGAUCGAAAGGAUGAGGCAAGAUGCUGACAUUUCUCAUCAUUCAGAUUAGAGCUAACUUAGACUAUUCUGAUUGGAUCAAACUCUUCCAAUAUGAUCGAAAUGAGGUCUUCUACUAGUUGGCUUCUUUGCUCUAUCAGCUCAUCUGGAACAUCAAGCUCUUCUAUGGGUUAAGUUUUCAUGAGGGCUUCUUUGCACAAAGUUGCCAUGUAACAUUCUUUAGCUAGCUUUUGAUCUCUUAAGACUUCACUGAUCCCAUGUAAAGUA